GUUUCUCCUAACAUCACUUCUUAUCUAGCCCAGCCCAUUCCUGUCUACACUCUGCUCUCCUCCUCUGUCCUUCUCCCUGCUUCCCACAUCCAUUCCCAGUAAUUCACACACCUUUUCUGUGUAACUUCCAUCUGCUGUGGGAGUCAACCUCAAAGUUACACCAAAUUGCUCGGGACCUUGUCCAGCUUAGUACUGAGUAUCUCCAAAGAUGGAGAGCCUACAAACUCUCUCUGCAUUCUAGUGUCUGACCACCCUCCUGGUGAAAAAGGUUUUCCUAAAAUACCUAAUCAGAACUUUCCUUAUUGCAGCUCAUGAUGGUUGAUUACUGCUCUGUUGCUAUGCUCCUUAGUAAGCCAUCCAGUUCCAUUUUCCUGAUCAGGAAGAUAGCAGAAGAUUCCCCUUGGCUUUCUCCAGGCUAAGAAAGAAACCCAGCACUCCCAGACACUCCUUGACACUCACAUCCCUUGCCCAGCCCAACACAGACCUUUUUUUUCAAACUUUGCCAGGAAUGCUUAAAAUCUAUGCAAACCUUUCCUUCACAGAUGAGCGUACAACACCUCUGCCUUGCGUUUCCUCAUGCCACCCAUUUAAUUUAGUUCCUUCAAUUUACUUUGCCUUGCCAACAGCUAUCUUUAAAAUAAGCAAAGAUGACCCUGUGAGUUCUCAUCAUCUCUUUACAUGCACUUACCAGGGGCUCCAGCAGGACCAGGUGGACCACGGAGUCCCGGUGUGCCGUGCUUACCCGGAAACCCAGGUGGGCCUGCCUGGAAGGCAGGAGAUCCUAUUUCACCUUUUUCACCUUUUGGGCCCAUUUCUCCAGCUUUAGAAAUGCAGAAACAUGGUACCUCGUGCUGCCUCACUCUGAAUAAAGAAGUACAUCUGUAAAGCCCAAUGGGGCAAUGGCAUAUGGAAUGCAUGGGUGCCUUAUGGAUGUAUAUUGCUCCAGCUUCAGCAGGAGAGACAAAGAAGCCACUUGCCUGUGACUGG